CCUACGGGAGGCAGCAGUGAGGAAUAUUGGUCAAUGGACGAGAGUCUGAACCAGCCAAGUAGCGUGAAGGAUGACUGCCCUAUGGGUUGUAAACUUCUUUUAUAUGGGAAUAAAAUGUUCCACGUGUGGGAUUUUGUAUGUACCAUAUGAAUAAGGAUCGGCUAACUCCGUGCCAGCAGCCGCGGUAAUACGGAGGAUCCGAGCGUUAUCCGGAUUUAUUGGGUUUAAAGGGAGCGUAGGUGGAUUGUUAAGUCAGUUGUGAAAGUUUGCGGCUCAACCGUAAAAUUGCAGUUGAAACUGGCAGUCUUGAGUACAGUAGAGGUGGGCGGAAUUCGUGGUGUGGCGGUGAAAUGCUUAGAUAUCACGAAGAACUCCGAUUGCGAAGGCAGUUCACUGGACUGCAACUGACACUGAGGCUCGAAAGUGUGGGUAUCAAACAGGAUUAGAUACCCCUGUAGUC
rnacentral:rRNA from 1 species